GUUCCUGUAGCUUACACGUCAUUUAAAGCAUGCCCCUGAAGCGGUCACGAUGGAUCCCCUCCCAAGAACA
rnacentral:tRNA from 1 species